rnacentral:rRNA from 1 species
UACCAGCACCCCGAGUGGUCGGGACGUUUAUUGGGCCUAAAGCAUCCGUAGCCGGUUCUACAAGUCUUCCGUUAAAUCCACCUGCUUAACAGAUGGGCUGCGGAAGAUACUAUAGAGCUAGGAGGCGGGAGAGGCAAGCGGUACUCGAUGGGUAGGGGUAAAAUCCGUUGAUCCAUUGAAGACCACCAGUGGCGAAGGCGGCUUGCCUGAACGCGCUCGACGGUGAGGGAUGAAAGCUGGGGGAGCAAACCGG